rnacentral:rRNA from 1 species
AGGUCGGACUUUAUCUGCUGGGAGUGCUGGCUGCCUGAGGGGAAAGGGUUCCUAGUACGAGAGGAACGGAACGCUGUAGCCUCUAGUUAACCGGUUGUCCGACAGGGCAGUUGCCGGGCAGCCACGCUGCUGAGGAUAAGAGCUGAAAGCAUCUAAGCUCGAAGCCUCUCCCGAAAAGAGGCAGCCGUUUCCGUUUUACGGAACGAAGGCCCCCAUAGAAGAUGGGUUUGAUGGAGCUGGGGUGUAAGC